rnacentral:rRNA from 1 species
UACGUAGGGUGCAAGCGUUAAUCGGAAUUACUGGGCGUAAAGCGUGCGCAGGCGGUUAUGUAAGACAGAUGUGAAAUGCCCGGGCUUAACCUGGGAGCUGCAUUUGUGACUGCAUGGCUAGAGUGUGUCAGAGGGGGGUAGAAUUCCACGUGUAGCAGUGAAAUGCGUAGAUAUGUGGAGGAAUACCGAUGGCGAAGGCAGCCCCCUGGGAUAACACUGACGCUCAUGCACGAAAGCGUGGGGAGCAAACAGG